rnacentral:rRNA from 1 species
UACCAGCACCCCGAGUGGUCGGGACGUUUAUUGGGCCUAAAGCAUCCGUAGCCGGUUCUACAAGUCUUCCGUUAAAUCCAACUGCUUAACAGGUGGGCUGCGGAAGAUACUAUAGAGCUAGGAGGCAGGAGAGGCAAGCGGUACUCGAUGGGUAGGGGUAAAAUCCGUUGAUCCAUUGAAGACCACCAGUGGCGAAGGCGGCUUGCCAGAACGCGCUCGACGGUGAGGGAUGAAAGCUGGGGGAGCAAACCGG